GACGAACGCUGGCGGCGUGCUUAAUACAUGCAAGUAGAACGCUGAAGGCGGAGCUUGCUUCUCUGGAUGAGUUGCGAACGGGUGAGUAACGCGUAGGUAACCUGCCCGGUAGCGGGGGAUAACUAUUGGAAACGAUAGCUAAUACCGCAUAAUAUUGACUACUGCAUGAUAGUCAGUUGAAAGGUGCAACUGCUCCACUACCAGAUGGACCUGCGCUGUAUUAGCUAGUUGGUGGGGUAACGGCUCACCAAGGCGACGAUACAUAGCCGACCGGAGAGGGUGAUCGGCCACACUGGGACGGAGACACGGCCCAGAGGGCUACGGGAGGCAGCAGGAGGGAAUCGUGGGGAAGGGACGGGAGUCUGACCGAGCAAGGCCGCGUGAGUGAAGAAGAAUGUCGGAUCGUGGAGCUCUGUUGUAAGGGAAGAACGAGUGUGAGAGUGGAAAGCUCACACUGUGACGGUAACUGACCAGAAAGGGACGGCUAACUACGUG
rnacentral:rRNA from 1 species